CAUGUGUAGCCCAUAAGGCUAGGGUGCCUGGGGAGCACCCAUCAUACCGGGAGACCCCCAGGGGGUCCGGGAACACAUGGGGACAGAGGUCCCAGCUUACCAUGCCCAGGGAGUCGUAAGGCAGCCUCCCAACUUUACCUCAACAUCAAAGACGUGGCGGGUGAGAAUUUGAGGGUGUCCUUGGGCCAACUUGGCACGGUGAGGGGGCCAUAAGGAGAUCACGGCCCUCCUUGAAGGACCCUGCCUUGACAGUGAGAAUACUUCCAAGCAGAUGUCAGGAGAGGUUUCUUCUCCAAAGGGUUCACUGGCAUUAUGUAGAAAAGCCAGGGGUAGGAAUUAAAGAAAAUAACAUCAAGCUGAAAACACCAAGUUAGAAAACAAACCUGUGGGAAGGGAAGGAAGGACUAGAUUGGGUACAAGGUAUUGUUCAUGGAAAGUUGUGGGGGGCUGAGGGAGAACUCGAUGAAACUGAACAUAUUUUCCCAUAAAACUCACAAACAAAUGGCCUUUAGCUAUUGUCACAGUGCCCUGUUCCUAAAGAGAGGAAACUGCCAGGGAAAGAGCCCUAGCAGGGUAUAAGGAGCCCAGCUGUGGGUUGCCAGGGCAACCAGGAGGUCAGCUAACUGAAAGGGGCAGGGCCUGGCUCCUAUAUAAAUCACAGGCAGGAGGCCAGAGGCAGUUCUCUGCCAGUAGCCAGAGAAGCAGGAGCUCCUAGGCCAGGAGGCAAGAAGAAGCCUAACUGCAGUGGAGGUCAAAGAUUCUGGUGUACAUCUUGUCAGCAAGGGCCUGAAGCUCAGAUCUGUCUGUUGUAUCCUUCACUAGUAUUCAAGAUUGCUAAGGUAACUCAAAAGGCGAAAUGUUUAACAUCAGACUAUGGAAAAAAAACCCAAUAUGAAAGCUGAGAUUUUAAUAGUAUAUAAUAAUUCAUAGGAAUAUUAUAUACACAUUUUAUGUAACUUAAUGGAAAAAAAAUGUGUCUAAAUCCCCCAAAGCAGCAGUUCUCAACCAGCAGGCAGGUUUGAGGGAGGGGGGGUUGAUGACACUGCCCUUUCCAUUUUGCUAACUGGGAGAGAGCUCUUGGGUAUAUCCUGACUAGAUGAGAGGUGAACCCCCCAGAUCAGAUCAAAGCUCUAAAAUAAUAGAGAACCACAUGCCAAGAAUGUUUUGAGAAACUCAGCUCAGUAUCAAGGACGCACAACAAAACUGUGCAGUUAGGACCUAAUCCAAAGCCCACUAAAAUGAGUGAGCAUCUUUUUGCUGAGUUUUAAUGGGCUGUGGAUAAGCCCUUGAAGAGCAGGGUUAAAGCCAGCUUCACAGCAUUUGGUUUUUUUCAUGGCUGGCACCUCAAAUUCUUCCCCUUCCCAAAAGAAUCCGAGCUCAGGGGUAUUCCAGAGAAGAUAAAACAUUGACCUGUUUGGGAGGGUGGGGGCAGAAGUUUUCACCAUUUAAGCCUGAAAACAUCCUGAAUAGGAGAGGCUGCCUCAUCUCACUGCAUUUUCCCAGUGCAAUUGUCAGCAGCUGCAGGCAAUGGAGUGUUUGAAGCGACUGGGCUGGUGGACAUUGAUUUCAGGAAUUCUAUCAGUCCAAUUAAAUGAAGGAAUCAAAAACUCAUGAUUUGCCCUGGCUUUCUGAAGCUAAAGGGAGCAUUGCUGAAGGUGAGAAGGAUUGGGAUCUCAAUUAUUAGGUCCUAACUACCCACAAUUUUGUUGUGCCUCCCUUGAUGCUGAGCUAAGUUUCUUAAAACAUUCUUGGCAUGUAGUUUUUGGGGUUUUUUUGGAGGGUUUUUUUUUUUUGCCAUGUGGCAUUCUCUUUAUAGAAUAUAGGCAGGAUAACAGGGAGUCAGAGGCUCUUGUUAGUGUAAGAGGGGAAGUGAAGCAGGAAGGUCUGCAGGCAGAUCAGUAAGGGCUCCCUCUGGGAGAGUAGCUAGCUAGAGAGCUAUAUGGGUGCAAGUAAUGAUUCAGGAGCUAGAUGCAGGGCAACAGGCAGGAGCUCAAGCUAGGUAGGAGGGAAACAAAGACAACACAACUAGGAAAACAACAGCCUGCUGCUCAUUAAGUGGAGAGAGCACACCUGUGGCCAGUCAGGAGCACACCUACCUGGAGAAGGUAGCACUCGGGAUAUAAAUCUGGGUUCCUGAGGCAAUAGGGUCUUGAAUGCUGUGAGAAGAGAUGUCUCUGCUAGCUUAGGUGUCUGGGAGCAAGCUGCAGGCUAGAAGAGGGGGUCUCAUAGUCACCCUCAAGACAUUCCUGCUUGUUGGCCUCAUAAUUGUCUUGCAAAAUCAUCUUCGGCUGACUGAUUCGCAUCAGCUCACCUGCAACUAGGGCUAAGCUUUUGAUGUCAUGGCUUCUAGCACCCACCUUCACCUCAAAGCAUGGGACUCCUCUUCUCUUCAUUAUGGUGGGAGCCUUAUGAUGUACAGUUCAGCUGUGAUCUCUGAAUAGGAAAACUGACCAAAUACCCUUCACAGACCAGCUAGAUGCCCAUGGCUGAAUGUCAUGGGGAGCCUCCUUUUCUUUUUCCCUGAAUGUUGCUCCUGCCAGUCCAGGUGAUGACUACAUAUGCCAGGGAUCACUCACAGGUUAUCUGCCUGGCAUGGACACCAAUUUGCUGUCAGAUCUCAGAAUGUGAAUGCAGAAGAGUUUAGGGGCAGUCAUCCAUGACAAGACUCUUGUAAUUACAAUGGCUUCAUGCAAGGGAUAAGUCCCUCACCUUGCUUAAGUUAAUACUGGAUGAAGAAUAAAAUUGUGGGUACCUAUAUAUGUAUGUUGAGGCUGCUCUGAUGCACUGUAAUUCCAAUGCAUUGGAGCAGACUCUAUUAACUGAUGAGCGUUAGUUAAAGCGCUGAUUUGAAUGUUAGUUAAAGCUCCCCCACUACCAUUUUUCACUGCAGGGACACUGAUACACAUGAUGCUCUGGGCACUUUAAUUAGCUCUCUGAGCCACUCUAAUUAAAGCACUGCCCCUCUUUCCCCAGCCCUGGCAUCCUGGAGCACAUGUAUAAACACUGUAUAAGACCCAGCAAUCCCGAACUCAAUAAUGUGAUGGCCCAGUUACCGUUUCAUCCCUUUAGGACUGGCACAUUGCUUACCAUGA